ensembl:snRNA U6 U6 spliceosomal RNA
GUGUUUGCUUCAGCGGCACAUAUAAUAAGACUGAAACAAUACAGAGAAGAUUAGCGUAGCCCCUGAACAAAGAUAACAACAUGCAAAUUUGUGAAAUGGCCUAUAUUUUU